UAUAGUUUGAUCCUGGCUCAGGAUGAACGCUGGCGGUAUGCUUAACACAUGCAAGUCGAACGGAAAGGCCCUGCUUUUGUGGGGUGCUCGAGUGGCGAACGGGUGAGUAACACGUGAGUAACCUGCCCUUGACUUUGGGAUAACUUCAGGAAACUGGGGCUAAUACCGGAUAGGAGCUCCUGCUGCAUGGUGGGGGUUGGAAAGUUUCGGCGGUUGGGGAUGGACUCGCGGCUUAUCAGCUUGUUGGUGGGGUAGUGGCUUACCAAGGCUUUGACGGGUAGCCGGCCUGAGAGGGUGACCGGCCACAUUGGGACUGAGAUACGGCCCAGACUCCUACGGGAGGCAGCAGUGGGGAAUAUUGCACAAUGGGCGGAAGCCUGAUGCAGCAACGCCGCGUGCGGGAUGACGGCCUUCGGGUUGUAAACCGCUUUCGCCUGUGACGAAGCGUGAGUGACGGUAAUGGGUAAAGAAGCACCGGCUAACUACGUGCCAGCAGCCGCGGUGAUACGUAGGGUGCGAGCGUUGUCCGGAUUUAUUGGGCGUAAAGGGCUCGUAGGUGGUUGAUCGCGUCGGAAGUGUAAUCUUGGGGCUUAACCCUGAGCGUGCUUUCGAUACGGGUUGACUUGAGGAAGGUAGGGGAGAAUGGAAUUCCUGGUGGAGCGGUGGAAUGCGCAGAUAUCAGGAGGAACACCAGUGGCGAAGGCGGUUCUCUGGGCCUUUCCUGACGCUGAGGAGCGAAAGCGUGGGGAGCGAACAGGCUUAGAUACCCUGGUAGUCCACGCUGUAAACGGUGGGUACUAGGUGUGGGGUCCAUUCCACGGGUUCCGUGCCGUAGCUAACGCUUUAAGUACCCCGCCUGGGGAGUACGGCCGCAAGGCUAAAACUCAAAGGAAUUGACGGGGCCCCGCACAAGCGGCGGAGCAUGCGGAUUAAUUCGAUGCAACGCGUAGAACCUUACCUGGGUUUGACAUGGAUCGGGAGUGCUCAGAGAUGGGUGUGCCUCUUUUGGGGUCGGUUCACAGGUGGUGCAUGGCUGUCGUCAGCUCGUGUCGUGAGAUGUUGGGUUAAGUCCCGCAACGAGCGCAACCCUUGUUCACUGUUGCCAGCACGUUAUGGUGGGGACUCAGUGGAGACCGCCGGGGUCAACUCGGAGGAAGGUGGGGAUGACGUCAAGUCAUCAUGCCCCUUAUGUCCAGGGCUUCACGCAUGCUACAAUGGCUGGUACAGAGAGUGGCGAGCCUGUGAGGGUGAGCGAAUCUCGGAAAGCCGGUCUCAGUUCGGAUUGGGGUCUGCAACUCGACCUCAUGAAGUCGGAGUCGCUAGUAAUCGCAGAUCAGCAACGCUGCGGUGAAUACGUUCCCGGGGCUUGUACACACCGCCCGUCAAGUCAUGAAAGUUGGUAACACCCGAAGCCGGUGGCCUAACCGUUGUGGGGGAGCCGUCGAAGGUGGGACUGGUGAUUAGGACUAAGUCGUAACAAGGUAGCC
rnacentral:rRNA from 1 species